rnacentral:rRNA from 1 species
GAUGAACGCUGGCGGCGUGCUUAACACAUGCAAGUCGAACGGAAAGGCCCUGCUUUUGUGGGGUGCUCGUGUGGCGAGCGGGUGAGUAAAACGUGUGUAACCUGCCCUUGUCUUUGUGAUAACUUUAGGAAACUGGGGCGAUUACAGGGUAGGAGCUCCUGCUGCACGGUGGUGGUUGGAAAGUUUCGGCGGUUGGGGAUGGUCUGGAGGCUUACCAGCUUGUUGGUGGGGUAGUGGCUUACAAAGGGUUUGACGGGUAGCAUGCCUGAGAGGGUGACCGGCCACAUUGGGACUGCGAUACGGCCCAGACUCCUACGGGCGGCAGCAGUGGAGAAUAUUGCGGAAUGGGCGGAAGCCUGUUGCAGCAACGCCGCGUGCGGGAUGCCGGCCUUCGAGUUGUGAACCGAUUUCGCCUUUGACGAAGAGUGAGUGACGGUAAUGGGUAAAGAAGCAACGGCUAACUACGUG